CUACGGGCUGCUGCAGUGGGGAAUUUUGCACAAUGGGGGAAACCCUGAUGCAGCAACACCGCGUGGAGGAUGACGGCUUUCGGGUUGUAAACUCCUUUUCUAAGGGAAGAUUAUGACGGUACCUUAGGAAUAAGCACCGGCUAACUCCGUGCCAGCAGCCGCGGUAAUACGGAGGGUGGCAAGCAUUACUUGGAAUCACUGGGCGUAAAGAGUGCGUAGGCGGAUUGUUAAGUCUCGUGUGAAAGCCUAUGGCUCAACCAUAGAACUGCAUGGGAAACUGACAGUCUAGAGCAUGGGAGAGGCAGGUGGAAUUCCAAGUGUAGGGGUAAAAUCCGUAGAUAUUUGGAAGAAUACCGGUAGCGAAGGCGACCUGCUGGAACAUUGCUGACGCUGAUGCACGAAAGCGUGGGGAGCAAACAGGAUUAGAUACCCCUGUAGUC
rnacentral:rRNA from 1 species